GGGGGUGUGGGAAGAACCUUCAA
rnacentral:siRNA from 1 species